UUCACUGUAUCUGAGGACGAGGGAGGGGGAGCUAUCGAGGGGUUAGAAGCAGCAGAAAGGCACGGGCAUGUGGGUGUUUUAAAGCAGGUUUGGCUGAUGUGUGAAGAAUGGACUGAGCGGAACAAGACAGGAAGCUGGGACAACGGUGCUGAGGUCAUCCACGGUCUAGGGACUGAAGAGGCUCAGAGUUUCCAACAUCUGAGUGAUUUGUGAAUAUGAGGAAUUCUGACACUGGGACUCAUCAAACCCUGUACUUGUUGCACUUUGACUGAAACAAAAUGUUUCGGCACUUGGAGCUUGCUUGGGACUCAUUGCACUUGAGAGAACUUGGAUGAGUCACCAUGCUGCCCUGCAAGAGAAAACGCCUCAUUGUUCGGUACUCAUCAGUUGCAGCACUCGUCACACGUUCCAGAACAAAUUAAUGACUGCCAAAGGUUGGCGAGCUGUGCUGUGCUGUGACUCAUCUUUCUCCGGAAGCCAUGGGGGUUUCCAACCUCUCCUGCUUGGAGCCUUCCUAGGUCCUCCAGAUGAAAAAACUCCUCAGAUGGAACCAUUUUGCCAAUGCAGAAGAGGUCAAACGAAAAACAACAGAAGCACUGAAAGUCAUCAAAAUCGAUGAGUUCGAAAACUGUUUUUUUCUUUCAAAAUUUCUUUUCUUUUCAAAAUUUUAAUAUAUUUUAUUGAUUGUACUAUUACAGUUGUCCCAUUUCCCCCCCCUUUAUUCCCCUCAGCCCUGUAUUCCCCCCUCCCACCACCAUUCUGCCACCCUAGUUCAUGUCCAUGUGUCACACAUAUAAGUUCUUUGGCUUCUCCAUUUCCCAUACUAUUCUUAACCUCCCUCUGUCUAUUUCCUACCUACCAUUUACGCUUCUUAUUCCUUGUACCUUGUCCCUUAUUCUCCCCAAUCCUCCUCCCCAUUGAUAAUCCUCCAUGUGAUCUCUAUUUCUGUGAACCUGUUCUAGUUGUUUGCUUCGUUUGUUUUUGUUCUUUAGGUUCAGUUGUCAAUAGUCAUGAGUUUGUUGUCAUUUUAUUGUUCAUAGUUUUGAUCUUCUUUUUCUUAGAUAAGUCCUUUUAACAUUUCAUAUAAUAAUGGCUUGGUGAUGAUGAACUCCUUUAACUUGACCUUAUCUGGGAAACACUUUAUCUGCCUUUCCAUUGUAAAUGAUAUCUUUGCUGGAUAGAGUAAUAUUGGAUGUAGGUCCCUGAUUUUCAUGACUUUGAAUACUUCUUUCCAGCCCCUUCUUGCCUGUAAGGUCUCUUUUGAGAAAUCAGCUGAUAGUCUUAUGGGAACUCCUUUGUAGGCAACUCUUUCCUCUUGCUGCUUUUAAGAUUCUCUCUUUAUCUCUAGUCUUGAGUAACUUAAUGAUGAUGUGCCUUGGUGUGUUCCUCUUUAGGUCCAGCUUCUUUGGGACUCUCUGAUCUUCCUGGACUCCUGGAAGUCUAUUUCUUUUGCCAUACAGGGGAAGUUGUUUUUCAUUAUUUGUUCAAAUAAGUUUUCAAUUUGUUGCUCUCCUCUUCUCCUUCUGGCAUCCCUAUGAUUCGCACGUUGGAAUGUUUAAAGUUGUCCCAGAGGUUCCCGAGCCUCUCCUCAUUUUUUGAAUUCCUGUUUCUUCAUUCUAUUCUUAUUGAAUGUUUAUCUCUUUUUUCUGCUCCAAACCAUUGAUUUGAGUCCCAGUUUCCCUCCCUUCAUUCUCGGUUCCCUGUGUAUAUUUUUUAUUUCACUUUGCAUAGCCUUUACUUCUUCCUCUAUUUUACGACCAUAGUCAACCAUUUCUGUGAGCAUCCUGAUUACCAGUGUUUUGAACUGUGUGUGAUAGGUUGGCUAUCUCUUGAUAACUUAGUUUUAUUUUUCUGGAGCUUUGAUCUAUUCUUUUAUCUGGGCCGUUUUUGUUGUUGUUGUUGUUUCAGCCUGCCUGUUACAUGGUAAGGGGCAGAGCCCUAGGUAUUCACCAGGAAAGAGCAACCCACAUCACUGUGUUGUGGUGCUGUAUGUGGGGGAGGGUUCUGAGAAUGAACAGUGCCGCUUGCUCAGCUCUCUGGCUUUCAGUCACUUCCUCUGUUACCCACAAGAAAAUUGGGCCCUUCUGGUGUUGAUUCCUGAGUGGGUGGUUUUGUGUAUGUUCUAGGACCCUGGGGGUCUCUCCAACAAACUCUCCUGUAAGGCUGGAGUUUCUCCUGUCACAGCAACCCCCACAAGUUUUUUCAGUCAGAGGUUUUGAGGCUUUAUUUAGCUGUGUUGGAAUCCUGGGUAUGCAGUUUGUCUUGCUCCCCAGUUGUUCUUCCUGGUUUAUCUGUAAGCCAGUGUGGGACCACCCACUCUUCCAGCCACCACCUUGUCUGCCCUGGUCCUCUAACCCCUGCCUUGCUGUGAGUCCUCUCCACUCUGUCUGCCCAUCUCUGCCCCUCCUACAGGUCUGGGUGAAUGUUUCUUCUUUAGCUCCUUGGUUGUUGGACUCCUGUACUGUUCAAUUUUCCGGCAGUUCCGGUUAUGUCUUGUUUUUAAAUUUGUUGUUGUCUGCCUUUUGAUUGUGUAAGGAGGCAAAGUGUAUCUCCCUACACCUCCAUCUUGGCCAGAAGUCCCCAAAACUGUUUUAAGCAGUUGAAAAAUGUCUCAGUAGGUUAUUGCAUCAAAUGGAGAGUGCUUUGAAGGUGACUGAAGUUUAAACAUAUAAGAAUAAACACCCAAUCUUUUUAUAUUUAAAUAAAUUUCACUUUGGGUCCCCCCUUGAAUAUAAAGUACUUGCCAUGGUGAUCUCUGGUCCAUUUUUAUGCAAAUUUGCAGUUUGAUCAGUCCACAUAGCACUGUCCUGAUUGUUCAGAAUGUCGCAUCCUGACUGAUUAUUAUGGAGUCACUCUGAUUGGUCAGUAAAGGUACAAAUGGGGGACAUAGCCUUGCAGGUCCAAUUGGCUGGGGCAGGUCGAAGGAUGAUUCCAGGGACUCCUUUAGAGGGGUUGGAUUAGAAGGCAGGAAUAUAGCGCAGGAGGCUUGGUAGCCUAAUCUGUGGCUUUUCCCUGAAAUGCAGCAUGUGUGAGAGGCCUCCUGUAAAUAACAGCUGCUGGACUCUAAUUAUGAAUUUGGGCCCAAUUAACCACAAUAAGUCCUUUUUGACAGGUAUAUUUCUUCUUGGGGUCAACACAACAAAUAUUUAUUGAGUACCUACUAUGUGCCGGAUACUAUGUUAAGUUUGGGGUGAGGACUGGGGUACUUAGAAGAUAUCCAGCUCAUUAAUACCAUUUUAUAUUAAAAGAGAUGAAGGCCCAGAGAAAAGUAACUAAUCUAGGAUAAGAGACAUAGUCAGGACCUGUUCCUACUGUCACCGCCAUAAAAUAAUUCCUCAUCCCAGGCAACUCUGACCCCCUCCUGUCUCCUCCCACACUCCCUGAUCUCUCCUUUUUGUAGCUGGCACCUCAGAGUUUUUACUGUGCAAGUGCACUGCAGAUGUAACCAUUCCUAUGCCCAUCUUACCUUACUGCAGGUAAACAGUUUAUUAAAAUACAUGAAGUUCAAUGAAUACAGCGGGAUAAGGGAAGACUUUGUUCCAAAGGAAGAAUUUAAAUUGUCUUAGAAGGAAGAGAGCAGUGCUCAGGAGAGAGAUGAAGGGUUAGAUAGGGGCCUGUGUUGUGUGUAUAGGUCGCUAAGGAAGGAGGUGAUAACCUGAGUGAACACUGAUAAAAAACCCAGUAUGUUUGACUGGUCAUUUGAAGGCCUGAACUUGAAGGCGUAUUCAUGAGGCAGGCAAGUGGGGAGGAAGACGGAAAGGGAUGGCCCUGAGCUUGUUGUGGGGUGAUAGAGUUCAGAUAGUUAUUCUAUUAAUUUGCUAGCUGUGUGACUUUAGGCUAGUCACUUACCUCAGCUUGUUCACUCUUCUGUUAUGCUAACCGCUGCUAGGGGGCUGCAAGCCUCAAGUGCAGCUACACAGGUUGACAGCACAUGGCCCAUUCCCAGCUGGCUCUAGGUGUGCAGGACAAAUUAGUGUCAUCUUUCAACAGUGGAAUGUUCUGCUUUGUGGGUUUGUAAUGCAAGAUCUAUAAGGCAGCUAAAGGUUAAUCAUGAAGCAUAAAAUGGUAAACUUAGAGAGUUUGAACAGUGCCUCUAAGCCAGAAGAUGUUGGAGGUUUGGGAGAAGUGAACAAAUUAUCCUUUCGUUUGCUUUUGUCUGUUCUUUUGUUUUUAGGAAACUGUGGUCAGGACAUGUAAGAAAUAGGAAUCCGGAGGCAGAUGGGGUGGGGAGUUGCUUAAAGGACUGAAAUAAGAAGAGAAAUUCCCUAAAACAAUGUGCAAAUUACUGGAGAGGAAAGGUAGAAACAAAUUAGAAAAGAACAACAAUAAUUAAGAUCCCUUGAGUACUUGCUAUGUACCAGGUACUAUUCUAAGAACUUUAAAGACUUAACACAUUUAAUAUAUCAAGUGUAUUAACUUGUCCUGUAUUCACAACAUAUCUCUGAUGAAAAUCAUUCUCAACACCAUUAGGAGGUGGGGAAACUGAGGCACUGAGCGGUUAAGGUGCAAAAAAGGCAUGUCUCUCUUCCUAUGCACUUUCAGAAUGGGUUUUUAAAAAUUUUUAAAUGUGUGGGUGUUUCCUUUUAGAAUAUUUUAGACUAUUUUCUCCACAACUUGCAGGUAUUGUAGUAAUGUGCAUUAAUGGAUAUCCUGAGCGUAUUCCCCUUUGUCUUUAUAAUGAUAAUUUUAAUGGUGGUCUAAUAUUUUAUUGAAUGGCUAUAUCAAGCUAUUUUUUGCUGCUCGCACGAACAUUUUGGGACAUAAAUCUUUGACAACACCGCUUAUCAUGUUUUAAAGAUACAUUUCCUGAUGUUGAAUUCCUGAAUGAGAUGAAGUAACCAUUUUCAUGGAUCUUAACUCAUAUUGCCAAUUUGCUUUUCCCACAGGGUUGGACAUAUUCACAGUGUCCUUGACAAUGUAGAAGGUUAUCACUUUCACCACAUACUUGCCAGCAUUAGCACCAGAAAGAUGCAAAGAAAACUUCAUACCUGCAGAUUCAGAAGGAAAAGGACUUUGGCUUUGAGACUGCAGGAGACCACCAAAAGGCUGCAGCAGCAAACACGGGCUGAGCUUGAGGGGAGGAACAAGAAAGAAGCAGGGAAGGAGAGCGCCUUCCAGUUCAUUCAAUUCAAAGGGAGUAGCAUGUAACUAAGGAGCACUGCCCAGACGUUAGUGGACAGUGGGACAAGAUGGGGGCAGACAAGACUCGGGAGUGUAUUCCAUAGAAGAGGAGAGUUUCCUUUUUUGAUAUCAUCUUCUACAGGAAUCUUGGAUGGAAAGCACAUGUAUGUUGAAACCUUACCACAGAGAGGCUGGCCAUAAGUGUUGAGUCCUCUUAUUGAAAAAUGAAGAAUGUGUCAGUGACCACACAUGAAGAUGAGAUUCGGCUGCACUGCUUUGACUUUCCAUUUUAUUCAUGUUUGAGGUCUUUCAAAUCAUGGGCUUUGUUUAAUCAA